GGGGGCGUAAAGGUUUCGACGGGGAUUUCGAACUAUGGUAAGCGAGUAGUGUGGGCGAAAACACUUUAAAAGUCGCACCUAAAUAUAAACGCUAAAAAAGAUUCUAACAAAGUCAUGAACAUCAAUGACUUUAGAGGACUUUGCGCAGCAUAAUUUAUUUUGCUGUCCGCUGAGAUUCGAUGACCACGGUCGGGUAUCAGCGUCAAUUUAGUGGUGAACUUUAUGAGAGGGUACCUCGACUCUUGUAAGGACUGAUUGGGGUUACGGCAGUCGGCGGUUUGCUCAUCGUCUGACGGCUGCCGGAGAGCAAACGAUGCGCUACACUCGUAGAAAGCCAUAGGGACUGAUUUUCGGACAGGGGUUCGACUCCCCUCGCCUCCACCA
rnacentral:tmRNA from 1 species